rnacentral:lncRNA from 1 species
AUCCACUGGCCAGAUGAACCCUUGGAGUGGUGGAUGGCCCCAUGAUCACCCUCGCCGGGAUGCCCCCCUUAGCUCGCAUUUCUUAUACAUUGGUAAUAACUUUUUGUUCAAGUUUUCACAUUAAUUCCUUGAUGUCCAUCUCUAGCUCUCUGGUGACGAUUGUAUCUUCUGAUUGCAUAUUUUCUCCAAGUGUCUUUUUCAAUGAUGAGACUAUGUUAGUUGGACGUUGUAAUAAA